UCUCAGUGAUGAUGAACUACAGAUGACGAGUCUGAUAUCCAUUCUUAUAAUAUUGAUGACAAUUCGAGGCAUUUGUCUGAGAGGU